AACGAACGCUGGCGGCAUGCCUAACACAUGCAAGUCGAACGAGACCUUCGGGUCUAGUGGCGCACGGGUGCGUAACGCGUUGGAACCUGCCCUUAGGUUCGGAAUAACUCCCCGAAAGGGGUGCUAAUACCGGAUAAUGUCUUCGGACCAAAGAUUUAUCGCCUUUGGAUGGGCCCGCGUUGGAUUAGCUUGUUGGUAGGGUAAAAGCCUACCAAGGCGACGAUCCAUAGCUGGUCUGAGAGGAUGAUCAGCCACACUGGGACUGAGACACGGCCCAGACUACUACGGGAGGCAGCAGUGGGGAAUAUUGGACAAUGGGCGAAAGCCUGAUCCAGCAAUGCCGCGUGAGUGAUGAAGGCCUUAGGGUUGUAAAGCUCUUUUACCCGGGAUGAUAAUGACAGUACCGGGAGAAUAAGCUCCGGCUAACUCCGUG
rnacentral:rRNA from 1 species